rnacentral:rRNA from 1 species
UACGUAGGGGGGCAAGCGUUGUCCGGAAUCAUUGGGCGUAAAGGGCUCGUAGGUGGCCAACUAAGUCAGACGUGAAAUCCCUCGGCUUAACCGGGGAACUGCGUCUGAUACUGGAUGGCUAGAGUUUGGGAGAGGGAUGCGGAAUUCCAGGUGUAGCGGUGAAAUGCGUAGAUAUCUGGAGGAACACCGGUGGCGAAGGCGGCAUCCUGGACCGAUACUGACGCUGAGGAGCGAAAGCCAGGGGAGCAAACGGG